UACGUAGGGGGCAAGCGUUGUCCGGAUUUAUUGGGCGUAAAGAGCGUGUAGGCGGCUAUACAGGUCCGCUGUGAAAACUCGAGGCUCAACCUCGAGACGUCGGUGGAAACCGUAUGGCUAGAGUCCGGAAGAGGAGAGUGGAAUUCCUGGUGUAGCGGUGAAAUGCGCAGAUAUCAGGAAGAACACCAAUGGCGAAAGCAGCUUUCUGGGACGGUACUGACGCUGAGACGCGAAAGCGUGGGGAGCGAACAGG
rnacentral:rRNA from 1 species